rnacentral:rRNA from 1 species
GAAUUCAACUCCUACGGGAGGCAGCAGUGGGGAAUAUUGGUCAAUGGAGGCAACUCUGAACCAGCCAUGCCGCGUGCAGGAAGACAGCCCUCUGGGUCGUAAACUGCUUUUAUUCGGGAAUAAACCUAUCUACGUGUAGAUAGCUGAAUGUACCGAAGGAAUAAGGAUCGGCUAACUCCGUGCCAGCAGCCGCGGUAAUACGGAGGAUCCAAGCGUUAUCCGGAUUUAUUGGGUUUAAAGGGUGCGUAGGCGGCUUAUUAAGUCAGGGGUGAAAGACGGUGGCUCAACCAUCGCAGUGCCUUUGAUACUGAUGAGCUUGAAUAUACUAGAGGUAGGCGGAAUGUGACAAGUAGCGGUGAAAUGCAUAGAUAUGUCACAGAACACCGAUUGCGAAGGCAGCUUACUAUGGUAUGAUUGACGCUGAGGCACGAAAGCGUGGGGAUCAAACAGGAUUAGAUACCCUUGUAGUCCAGGCGUU